GACGAACGCUGGCGGCGUGCUUAACACAUGCAAGUCGAACGGAAAGGCCCUGCUCUUGUGGGGUGCUCGAGUGGCGAACGGGUGAGUAACACGUGAGUAACCUGCCCUUGACUUUGGGAUAACUUCAGGAAACUGGGGCUAAUACCGGAUAGGAGCUCCUGCUGCAUGGUGGGGGUUGGAAAGUUUCGGCGGUUGGGGAUGGACUGGAGGCUUAUCAGCUUGUUGGUGGGGUAGUGGCUUACCAAGGCUUUGACGGGUAGCCGGCCUGAGAGGGUGACCGGCCACAUUGGGACUGAGAUACGGACCAGACUCGUACGGGAGGCAGCAGUGGGGAAUAUUGCACAAUGGGCGGAAGCCUGAUGCAGCAACGCCGCGUGCGGGAUAACGGCCUUCGGGUUGUAAACCGCUUUCGCCUGUGACGAAGCGUGAGUGACGGUAAUGGGUAAAGAAGCACCGGCUAACUACGUG
rnacentral:rRNA from 1 species